UCCCUGGUGGCUCAGAGGGUAAAGCAUCUGCCUGCAAGCUGGGAGACCUCAGUUCGAACUCUGAGUUUGGGAA
rnacentral:tRNA from 1 species